rnacentral:snoRNA from 1 species
UCGGACGUCAUGAUGAUUACCCAACCAAAUGCAUAGUUCAUCUGAUUCUUCAUGAUGAAAACGCAACCUUCAAGUCUUUCGCUCCCAUCUGACUGGCAUC